CUUGAUCUUUGAAGAUCUCUCGAGCCAGCGAUGGAGAGUUGACCACAACAGUUAGUUUUGAGCCAAGAUUGAGUUUGAAGAUUGGACCGUGUUCAUGAGAGAGGUUUGUGAAGUAGGUAUGAAGGUCCGGAUCAAGAAACAGGAGGCUUCCGACAAUAGGUAGGCCUCGCGGUCCAGGCGGUAGAGGUGAAGGUCUGGGUCAAGAAACGGGAGGCUUCCGACAAUAGGUAGGCCUCGCGGUCCAGGCGGUAGAGGCGGUUGCGGCGAGCGUUUGAAGAGGAACCAGAGAACCGUAAAUAUAGCAGUGAGGAUGAGAAUUGCGUAAGGAGUAAGAUUGGCUGUGUUGUCGGCGAGGAGAUCUGAUAUCAGAGACAUU
rnacentral:lncRNA from 1 species